GGGCUCGUAGCUUAGCUUGGUUGGAGCAUCCGGCUGAUAACCGGAAGGUCGAGAGUUCAAAUCUCUCCGAGCCCA
rnacentral:tRNA from 1 species